rnacentral:rRNA from 1 species
GAUGAACGCUGACAGAAUGCUUAACACAUGCAAGUCUACUUGAACUUCGGUUUGGGUGGCGGACGGGUGAGUAACGCGUAAAGAACUUGCCUCACAGUUAGGGACAACAUUUGGAAACGAAUGCUAAUACCUGAUAUUAUGAUUUUAGGGCAUCCUAAGAUUAUGAAAGCUAUAUGUGCUGUGAGAGAGCUUUGCGUCCCAUUAGCUAGUUGGAGAGGUAACGGCUCACCAAGGCGAUGAUGGGUAGCCGGCCUGAGAGGGUGAACGGCCACAAGGGGACUGAGACACGGCCCUUACUCCUACGGGAGGCAGCAGUGGGGAAUAUUGGACAAUGGACCAAAAGUCUGAUCCAGCAAUUCUGUGUGCACGAUG